AUACGUAGGUGGCAAGCGUUGUCCGGAAUUAUUGGGCGUAAAGCGCGCGCAGGUGGUUCCUUAAGUCUGAUGUGAAAGCCCCCGGCUCAACCGGGGAGGGUCAUUGGAAACUGGGGAACUUGAGUGCAGAAGAGGAUAGUGGAAUUCCAAGUGUAGCGGUGAAAUGCGUAGAGAUUUGGAGGAACACCAGUGGCGAAGGCGACUGUCUGGUCUGUAACUGACACGGAGGCGCGAAAGCGUGGGGAGCAAACAGGAUUAGAUACCCUGGUAGUCCACGCCGUAAACGAUGAGUGCUAAGUGUUGGGGGGUUUCCGCCCCUCAGUGCUGCAGCUAACGCAUUAAGCACUCCGCCUGGGGAGUGCGGUCGCAAGACUGAAACUCAAAUGAAUUGACGGGG
rnacentral:rRNA from 1 species